rnacentral:rRNA from 1 species
GACGUAGGGCGCGAGCGUUGUCCGGAUUUAUUGGGCGUAAAGAGCUCGUAGGCGGCUUGUCACGUCGGGUGUGAAAGACCGGGGCUUAACCCCGGUUCUGCAUUCGAUACGGGCUAGCUAGAGUGUGGUAGGGGAGAUCGGAAUUCCUGGUGUAGCGGUGAAAUGCGCAGAUAUCAGGAGGAACACCGGUGGCGAAGGCGGAUCUCUGGGCCAUUACUGACGCUGAGGAGCGAAAGCGUGGGGAGCGAACAGG